rnacentral:rRNA from 1 species
CCUACGGGAGGCAGCAGUGAGGAAUAUUGGUCAAUGGACGCAAGUCUGAACCAGCCAUGCCGCGUGCAGGAAGACGGCUCUAUGAGUUGUAAACUGCUUUUGUACGAGGGUAAAUCCCGAUACGUGUAUCGGGUUGAAAGUAUCGUACGAAUAAGGAUCGGCUAACUCCGUGCCAGCAGCCGCGGUAAUACGGAGGAUUCAAGCGUUAUCCGGAUUUAUUGGGUUUAAAGGGUGCGUAGGGGGUUCGAUAAGUUAGAGGUGAAAUCCCGAGGCUCAACUUCGGAAUUGCCUCUGAUAGUGUGCGGCUAGAGAGUAGUGGCGGUAGGGGGAAUGUAUGGUGUAGCGGUGAAAU